UAAAGCUCUGCUUUACCUCAAAAAAACCACGCAACAAGCCACAAUCUAUCGAUCGCUACUAUGCCCCGCGGUAAAAAAAGAAAGUAAACCGCCCGCCCGCACGACCUCCUCCUUCUCCCGCACGACCUCCUCCUCCUCCUCCCGCAGCCGCGCCCUUCACCGCCUCCUCGCGCCGCCGGAGCCACGGGAAGCGGCCGCGGGUCGCCGGGAGCCUCCCCGACCGCGGGAGCCCACCCCGCCCCCGCCGCGGCUCGCCGGGAGCCUCCCCUGCCGCCGGAGCCGCCCCGCCGCAGCUUGGCCUCCGCCACUCCGCCGGAGCGAGUCUCUCUCCUCUUCACUUGGGAUGGGACGCCUCCUCUCCUCUGCUCCCAGCCGGAUCCAAUCCACCUCGCCCCGGCAUGCAGCCACGGAAGGCCAGGUCCGUGCGCCUCUUUCCCAUGGCCAUGGAGUCGCCGCAGCCGCCAUGGAAUGCCUGGAUGUCGUCAAGAUGCACGCAGGUGCAGCAUCUACACCGAUGUCUGCUCUUGAGACACAGACAACAGAGGAGAGGACAAGUCUAGAAUUGCUAGACUGAAUCUAUCCAUCUGCUCUGCUCUCGGGACAACAGAGGAGAGGACAAGUCCAGAAUUGCUAGACUGAAUCUAUCCAUCUGCUCAGCUCAGUUCAUGCAGGUCAGGUCACAUCACGGAGGGAUUCCUGCGAAUCUACAUACAACUUCAAUUAAUUUAUUAGUACUAGGUGGGUGUGAGAAAACUGAAAUUUUUAGAUGCAUGCUUGCUUGGAUGCGUGACACACAACACUGUUUGCUCGUCUCAACUCUGUGGUUUUGCUUAUGUACCAACAUCUUCUCAACUUUGUGUUCUAUUUAUGGGAAUUGUAGAGGCUAGAGACAUAGCAAUCGUCAGGCUUCAGUUUUGUACUGACCACUCCAAGGCUUGUUCAACCUGGUGAAUCUUUCCUUCAUCUGCAUCAUUUUUCGCUUCAGUCUGUACAUCCUCGCCCUCCGCCCACUGAUCCUAUUCUCCGCCGCCCGCCUUCCUCUGCUCCUCCUCUGCCUCCGCCGAUCUCAUCUGAGCCAGUAAGUUUUCUUUACAUUCAAGUGUGCAUUGUUUGAACAACAUGCUUGUGGUUCUGUUCUUUCCACACAAGAUAAUCUGAUACAUACAUGAUCCUUAUGGUUAUGAUUAUUUUAGUGCAUACAUACAUGAUUCUUCCACACAGCAGGAACAAUUAUUCUGGAACAAUUGCCGUAUGUGAAUUAUCAUGAUCCAACGCCAAUGCCACACACAGCACUAAAAGGGUUACAGUUUAUGAGGACAUAUUGAAUUAGUGAGGAUUUCAGAAAUUUGUAGUCCAAGCAACUCAUACAUUUGAAGUUUUGUUGCUUACCUUCCCAUCCCAUUGUGUUGCUAUGCUCCUGAAGUUGCCUAACUACAGGAAAGGAGGCCAAAGUUUUGCUAUAUUGGGUUAUCCACAAUAGUAUCGGCAACGAUGUUUUGUUUUGUCGCAACUACUCAAAUAUAUAAUCUAAAUAAUCUAAAUAUAUAAUCUGCACAAUGUAGUUUGAGUUAAAAAAUACCACAUUGUAGUUUCAAUUUUUUUUUAAAAACCCACGUGUUUUGUUGUUUCAAGAGAUUGAGUCAUGGGCUGUGAGCAAGCAUUAUAUAUUGACAUGAAAGGUAGAUCUAUUUAGAUCAUGAAGGUUUGUGCACCGUGAUGCAAAGGCCGUAUGCAUCGACGAGGCGAAGGUGGGGCUUACCGGGAUGGGUUGAGAGGAGGCAGUGGAGAGAGGAAAUGGGAGAGGCGGAUGGUGAAUAUAGGAGGUGAAAAAGGAUGCAUCUACUUAGUCCUUCUGUUGAAUGCAUAAAAGGCACCCUGCAGCCUCUCUGCUUGCAAAAUAGAUGCUCUCUGCUUGGUACACUCAUGACAUUAAACCUUUCAUCUCCAGUUAGAGAUGCAACUUGAUUUGACCUAAAAAAUUCUAUUUUUGAGUAUUACUUUCUUCCACACCUCUGCAACAUCUUCUGAAGCCUCCACUCUUAACGAGUCUGCUGCUAGCGCUUUCUUAAAUUUUAUACGGGAAAAUAAUGUAGUACUUUUUUUAAAAAAUUUGUGCAAGCUAAUAUGUUUCAAGAUUCAUGAAACAUAUGUUUCAACAUUCAAAUGUUUACAUAAAAACCAUAUGCGGCAAAACUGAAUGACAUUUUGAAAUAUAUAAUUUUGACAGAAUGAAAACAAAUUCAGUUUCCUCUUCCUCCCUAACUAUGCAUACUUUAUUUCUACAGGUACAGAAUAUUGCUACUCAUCAACAUCUGCAGCAUCUAAGGUCCUUUUCGUCACAUAUUCAUAUUUACUUGAGAUUCUGCUUACUUUGUUUGCACCAUUUAAUAAUUGAGCUUCUCAAUAUUGCAUGAAUAUUUCUAAUGAUGUACGAUGUUCCCCAUUUCUUUAACAUCCCUGGCAUGUGUGUGCUCCAUUAGUGAAUGACAAAUUUCUGAAUUUUUGUGAUGAACAAUGUUUACGUUCGUUUAGGCAGCUCACCGGCAUCCAUCAUGGUUUGCUAUUUUAGAAUUAAUCAAGAUUACCUUUCAGGCUUCUUCCGUUGCCUAGCUAAUUCCCUCCUUGUAGGCCAUGUUGUGGUCUGAAAUUGAACGUAUACAUAUGAUCCUGGUUUUUCUACACCGCCAACUUUACUAUUGAUUACUCCUAGAACCUUAAGUUGAUCUGAAUAGACAUAGCGAAGUAGAUGCAAACUUCAGGAUAAAAGCAUGUAUAUCAUGGAAUGAUAGGAAGAGGGCUCUGAGCUAGACAUGUUGAUUAUACCGUUUAAUGUUAGCUCCAUCAAUACUGAUACAUAUACGAUUUCCUGUUGUAGAUAGGUAAAUAUUUUGCAAGUAAUGUAAUUUGGUAAAUAACCUAAAGUAUUAACCUUACUGCUAUCUCAAAGUAUGAUGCGAUUAUUCAGUAUCCAUUGCCUGAUAUAGUCAGUCAGAGGCAUCAAAUCAAAUCUCCCUUAAAUGAUUAAAUCAUUUAACUGCACAUCACAAGUAUCAGCCUCCAUCUGCCACCAAUAUUGCAAGAAACAAGGCAUGCUGAUCUAAUAACCGUCUUUAUGUAUAUUUUUAACCUAACAAGUGAGCUGAUGAUCAGGAAAUCAUGUUUAACUAUCAAUAAGUGAUACCAUUUCUUGGUUCAGUGAAGUGAUUAUGUGGAUCUUGUGAGGAAAACAGAUAUGCCAAGAAGCCUGGGAGGUUGUCUACAGUCACUGGCCUGGUAUGUGACCUGCUUGCAUCUUUUCCUGAUUACCUCACAACUGCAGUUGUCUAUGUUUUAUAUUAACCAUCGUUUUAUCAAUUUAAUUCACAAGUUUGUUUCUCGAAUUUACAUGUAUGCGUUGAUGACAUGAAAACUGAACAUAUAUUUGUUUGACACUGAGUUCUGCUGAACAUGUAAGUAUAGCCGGGAGAGUCAUGUAUUCGCUCGAUGCCAUAGCUCACCAACCCCGAGCUGUUGCCACUGUCGAAGACACCUUAAUAUUAAACAAUAAGUAUUAUAUUCAUCAAGAGAGUUUCCUCGCUAUGUGGUGUUAAUUCUGAUCUAUAUGAUUUCUCGCACAAAGAAUGCGUCUAUAUGACAUGAGGUUAGUCUUCUUUAACUCCUUUCUGAUCUAUUAAUUAUUAAGCGUCCCAUCUCUUGGUCUCAAAGUUUUCGAGAAAAUGAUUUAUUUUGUUUAGUGCCAUUCAAGAGAUGUGGAUAAAAAAUCAUGUUUAACUAUCAAUAAGUGAUCCCAUUUCUUGGUUCAGUGAAGUGAUUAUGUGGAUCUUGUGAGGAAAACAGAUAGGCCAAGAAGCCUGGGAGGUUGUCUAGAGUCACUGGCUUGGUAUGUGACCUGCUUGCAUCUUUUCCUGAUUACCUCACAACUGCAGUUGUCUACGUUUUAUAUUAACCAUCGUUUUAUCAAUUUAAUUCACGAGUUUGUUUCUCGAAUUUACAUGUAUGCGUUGAUGAGAUGAAAUCUGAACAUAUAUUUGUUUGACACUGAGUUCUGCUGAACAUGUAAGUAUAGCCGGGAGAGUCAUGUAUUCGCUCGAUGCCAUAGCUCACCAACCCCGAGUUGUUGCCACUGUCGAAGACAUCUUAAUAUUAAACAAUAAGUAUUAUAUUCAUCAAGAGAGUUUCCUCACUAUGUGGUGUUAAUUUUGAUCCAUAUGAUUUCUCGCACAAAGAAUGCGUCUAUAUGACAUGAGGUUAGUCUUCUUUAACUCCUUUCUGAUCUAUUAAUUAUUAAGCGUCCUAUCUCUUGGUCUCAAAGUUUUCGAGAAAAUGAUUUAUUUUGUUUAGUGCCAUUCAAGAGAUGUGGAUAAAGAUAUCAAGUCGUAGUUUCAUUGUGCAUCAUGCUUUUUGUGGGGGUUUCACUGCUUUUUUUGCAUGAUUUCUCAACAUGGUAGCAUGGUCUAUCAUAUUAAACCUCUUGUUUGUGUGCUAGAUAUAUUUCGCUAUACAGGCCAACAUCUGUCGGGUGCAUGUAAGACUCCAUAUAUAGGAUCCACAUCAUAAUGUUCCAGUCCAUAGGUUCCAUCCCCCUUUAUCUUUCUUGAUCUCGAUUCAGUUGGUUGUAUUUCUUGUUUGCGUAUAAUUUCAAGAUGAUUAAUGUGAAGUGAUGACUUGCAUGUAAUUUCAAGCUGGUUGUAACCCUAAAAAGGAUAGAUUGAGUGAGGCUGGGCUGUAUGGUUGAAAAUCGUAUAUUUACAUUUGUUCUCUCCACGAUCAUGUAGCGGUGUGAUUAUUUUUGCAGUUUCUCUAAUUACCAUUUUCUCUUAUUCUAGCUUAUAUUGUUGUGUUGACAACACUGGAGGGAUGUUACUGAAGGAAUAUUCAAUAAUAGCUAGAGUUUUUGUACUUACUGAUUAUAUACAUUGACAUAUGACCAUAACUGAACAAUGUUGAGUUAUCUUCUAAAUUAGUAUGAAUUUUUUUCUGCUCAAAAACAGUUUUCUAUGAUAUUUGUAAUUUCCACGUUUCGAUUGAGCUUCUUACGAUCUAUCAGUAAGGCCUCUCAGGUUUUAGAUUUGUGAUUAGAUCGUUGCAUAUAAGCCAAAAUGAGUCUAUAAUAAGGGAAAUAAACUGGCUACGCUUACCGUAUGGAUGAAACUGAAGAGUGAAGUGAUAUUUCUUUCUACCAUUGCAUAGCUUUACCAUCACCGAUCCAUGUUAAGUGUGAUUUAUUUCUCUGUACAUUAUUUGGAUACAAAGGAUUCAAGCUGAAAAGAAGAUGCAGUGGAUUCAAUGUUAUGCAGAACAUUAUCACAAGUUGGCAUUUCCUGUGAAACGAAGACCAUUAUAUAGAACAUUGAUUAAUUUGUAGAAAAAUGCUGAUAGCCAAAGGUUAAUGCUGAUAGCCAAAGGGUAAUGCUGAUAGACCAUUAUAUAUAAAUACUUGAAAUAAUUCAGUUAUGGUUUCUAUCAAUAUAUUGUUUCUACUGCAUAUAUAUUACUUUUAGCUACGCAAUUUCCUCCGACAGCCAAA